rnacentral:lncRNA from 1 species
GCGGGUAUGGCUGGCCGCGGACUCCUGUGUUCGACACCCCUCUGGAUAAAGCCAUUGGCCGGGCGUCAGGUUUGCUUCGGGCACAGAUGAUGGGCGACAAAGCACAUCCAGACACCUGAGUGUCCUAUGAUGCCCUGUGACUCUGGAGCCCAGGGAACUGACCCUGGCAGAGGCCCGGGGCUACCUCUGCCCUGGUCUCCACCAUGUGGACAUUUGGCACCCGAGAGCAAGCAUCUGGAUGACUGAAGGAGUUUCCAGUUGGCUUCCAGAUGCUGACCCCGUGGAGCAGGGACGUGGUGGGAAAGGGCACUCUCACAGCCUUAGCUGUUGGCCUGUGCACUCCUGGUUGAUGGCAGGAUUUAGGAUGCCCAGGACACUGUCCAGUCUUCCUGGGAUCCCCUGGCUUGGGAUGAGACUUUAGGCAUGGUAACAGGUAGCCGGGGGCCAUUCCAUUUCCUCUCCAUUGGAAGGCUGGACAGUAAAACCAGCAUUUAGGGACAAGAAAGCUCAGAGGGAUCAAGCGACCAACCACUCGCCCGGAGGCAGAGCUGGGAUUCGAACCCACGCCACACCCAUAUGACUUUGUGGCGUCUUCUCUGCUUAUUCUACUUCCUGGGUUAAGUAAAACAGAGACCUAAGAAUUAGCACAGAUCAGAGGAAGAGGCUUUUGGCUAUAGUUAGAGAAGACUCACAGCUUGGCUGGAAAUAGCUGAUUAGAGAAAGAUUCUGGGGUCCCAGAGGCACCCGUCAGCCUCUGCUCCCCCACCCCCAGAUUCUCCAAAUAGGCAAAAGGUUGGAUUCAACGGCUCUUUCCCUCCUUGGAAAAAGAGCAGGAAGAGACUCAAAUGAAUGGCUCCUAAGAGGUAAAAAAUAAUUCAGAAACUGAGGCAGGUGGGAGGAAGAAUAGAGAAUGGGAUGUGGGUUUCCUGACCCUCUUCCAUUCUUGCUCUAGGAACACUCGGUGUGUUCAUUUAUCGGAAUCAAAAUGUCUCUGGUUGGUGAUUUCUGGAUUCUUUGGGCCUGCUGUGCUCGUAUGAUCCUUGUUCUAGUCCCUUGGCUGCAGAAUCUUCCACAGAAUAAUGAAAAAAGCUUGCUUAACCUCAAAAUGCGGGAUAUGAAGAGGUCCUGUGGUCAGCCUAGUCAAUCCCCUCCCAGGAUCCUCUAUGGGACAAAGCAGGAACUGGGGACUUCCCCUGGCCCCAGACCUUUCUCUCCUGCCCCACAGUUCCACUUCCAGUCCCUUCCGUGGCUCAGUCUUUUUCUCACAGUUUGGUUCAGACACACUGAGUCGAGAAGCAGAGAAACAGACGAUCAGCAUACUUUAAAAGGCUGGGAAUAUAAAUGGCAGGAAAGAAAGCCCUGAAGACCCAUGAGAGUUAAUAUCUGCCUUUGGACUCACCCUUGGAAAUAAACCAAGCAAGAUAUGAAAGAAAGAAGAUCAUCUCCAUGAGGGUGCUUUGGGCUGCAGGUAACAGAAGACUGAAUCAAGAUGGCUGAGGCCAUAAGCAAAGACAUUCCCUCCCCUAGUGAAAAGGCCUGGUGAGUGGGAACUCAGCAGCCCAACCUUGACAUCAGGGGCUCAGGGCACUUCCUUCCCCCUGAUCUGUCACCUUCAGAGAACAGACUUUGUCCCCAAGAUACAUCUCUCCUGGUCCAAAGAUGGCUUCUGCAAUGUCAGAUGUUGGAGCCACCUUGGCAUCUGCCAGAAGGGGAAAGACUGUCCCUUUAAGAAUGUUGCCAAAAAAACGCCUCUCCCUGAAGCCCCCAGCAGAGCUCCCCUCACCUCUUUGGUCAGAACUGGGUCACGUGGCUGCUACGCCACCAAUCACAGUGAGGGAAAGGACGGUGGCUCACACCAAUCAGGAUCCACUCCUGAGUCACCUGGGAGAGGGGUGACCACUCAGAUGAGACCAGGUUCCAGUCCCAAGGACAAAGGAGGGCAGUUCAGGGUAGAGACCAGUGGGGUCUGUUCUACCACAUUUUAAAAAUAUUUAUUCUUAAGUUUUAGGUGGACACAAUAUCUUUAUUUUACAUUUAUGUGGUGCUGAGGAUCGAACCUAGUGCCCUGUGCAUGCUAGGCGACCUUUGCACCACUGAGCCCACAACCCCAGCCCUCUACCACAUUUUUAUCCAUUUUUUUAAUCAGGUCACCAAGUGUUCCUUUAGACAACCUUGAACACUCAAGUCACUACCUAGUAGUCCUAGUGGAGGUGCCACAAUUUAUCUAGUUAAAAUUUUAUUGGUGACCAGCCUAGGUACCCUUCAACAGAUGAAUGGAUAAAUAAAAUGUGGUUUAUUUUAUAUAUAAUAUAAUAUUUAUAUAUAUAUAUUACUCAGCCGUAAAGAAGAAUGAAAUGACGGUAUUUGCCAUUAAAUGGACUGGAGGCUAUUAUGCUAAGUGAAAUAAGCCAGUUCCAAAAAACCAAAGGCUGAAUGAUCUGAUAUGCGGAUGCUAACACACACUGGGGACAGAUAGAAGUUCACUGGACCAGACAAAGGGGAAUGAAGGGAAGGGAGGGCAUGGGAAUAGGAAAGACAGUGGGAUGAUGGGACGUGACCUUCCAUGUUCCUAAAUGGCCACACGACCCGGGAAACUCCACAUCCUGUGCAGCCACAGACACGAGGAGCUACACCCCACGUACAUGUCAAAGUACACUCUACUGCCGUGUAUAUCUACAAACAGCAAAUAAAGAAAUAAAAAACAAAUGAUUGGUGGACGUGUAGGUGAUUCAUUUUCCAGAAGAUCU